AGGGAACAGCAUGGAUCCUGGUCAGGCUGGUCUGGAUCCAUGCUGGUCGCAAACCCAUUAUGUUGGUUUUGUCAUGGCAGGGCUCAUAUAUAUAUAUGGAAUGUCAAGAGAAUUUGUUGUUGGUAAAAGAAAACCCACUGACUUUAGCAACUUAGCAACCACGGAAUUUAUUAUGCUUUUGUUCAAGAUUUUGUUUGUUAUUAUCAGAAGAUGUAGAAUCAUCGUAAUGAUGACAGCAGAUGUUCAUACAUGCUUUGAAUAUAUUUAUUUUUAGAUUUAUGUGAUUUUAAAAAAAAGGAUUUUCUUUUUUGUGUGUAUGUCAAAAUAAUUAAGUGUUAUUCAUCCUAGUGUACAUUGUAGGAAUGGGUUUAAAAAGUUUAAUAAGGAGUUAAAUCUGUUAUUGCACUAAAGUGACAAGUUAUCUAUUUCGUGCCUUUUGAGUUGUAAGGAUAUUUGGUCUCCUUUGUGCAGUAACGGGUAAAAGAUCCGGAAACACAAUUUUUUUAUGGUUUUAUAUCAUAAAUAUGAUGCUUAAAUUAAGAUUGAUCAAUUUUGUAAGUUCCAAAAAGCAUUAUUUAUAAAGAUAUUACCGAAUUUAAACAUUUCAUUUAAAUAAAGGGAGGUAAUGAAAAAUUUAUUUUCUAUAAAGUUUAAGUUAAAUUUUACAAUAAGAAAUAAAUGCAUAUAUUUUAAUGAUUACAUAUAUUAUGUACAAAUAUUUGCAGAACAUAUUUUACAUAUUCUUGGAUGUUUGAAAAUUGAUUAAUAAGCAUAAUUAUAUACAUGUACAUAUACAUAAUUUAACUUAGUGUGGUAUACAACCUCAAUUACAACAUACAGGAUCAUGAUUUCAACUUUAUGAAUUUACGAUUUCAACUCAUGUUAUUUUAUAAUUAUAUGGAGUUAACUCGUUACUGCAAAAAGGUGACAUUAUAAUACUGCACGUUUGUAACGUCAUUUUUCAUUGGAUAAUCGUGACGUUUAUAUAGUUUUAUAUACACGGCUGCUGUCGAUUCAUGAAGAAAUCUUACUUUUUCUCUUAAAAAUGAUGCUUGCUGUAUUAUAAAUUUGUUAGCGGCUCGGGUUAUAUUUACAAACAGCCGUUUAUAUAGGGCCAUAUAACCUGUCAAAAAUUUUUAUAACUAAUAAUAUAUGUGUGUGAGUAUAAUUGUCCACCUAUAUGCUACAUCAAUAUUUUUUGUAAAUAUUUGUUCUGAUAAGAUUGCCAUAACAACACUUAUGCUUCCAUGACAGAUUUCUUAAUAGAUGUGUUAUGUACAUGUACUGAAUUUUUUUUUGGGUUUUUUUUUUUUUGUCGUUUUUUUUUUUUCUGCAUUGUUUUUUACAGACCUGAAAGAUUUUUACACCCAUUGAAUUACUUUAAUGUAUGACUGAACCCUCUUUUGUUAGUGUUUUUUUAGUUGAUUCUUUGUCAGCUUACAAACUGUUUGUGUCAGUGAGCAGAAACCCAUUUUACUUAAACCACUCUGUCAUUUAAUUGAAACCCUCUUACUGACUUUUCCAUCAUUUUACUGAAACUUAACUGUCAGUAACCAGAAACACUUACCCUUUUUUCAUAAUUUUACUGAAACCACUCUGUCAGUUAAUUGAAACCCUCUUAUCGACUUUUCCAUCAUUUUACUGAAACUACUUUCAGUAAACAGAAAACCAGUCUGCUGAAACCAUUUUUGUCAGUCACUUUACAACUGCUGUCAUUUAAAUGGCAACCUCUGUCAAUUUACUGAAACCUUGCCUGUUUACUUACACCUUCUUUAUUACUUAGUGAAACACAGUUUGCCAGUUUAUUUAUUAAAAUAUUUAUUGACAAUUUUCUAAAACCCUGGUUGUUAGUUUACUUAUGUAUUCUUUGUAUGUUAAAUGAAAGUUUGUUAUAUUACUGUGCUAUAUUUCAUUGAAACCUUUAUGUCAAUUUUA